AGUGAACGCUGGCGGUAGGCCUAACACAUGCAAGUCGAACGGCAGCACAGUAAGAGCUUGCUCUUACGGGUGGCGAGUGGCGGACGGGUGAGGAAUACAUCGGAAUCUACUUUUUCGUGGGGGAUAACGUAGGGAAACUUACGCUAAUACCGCAUACGACCUACGGGUGAAAGCAGGGGAUCUUCGGACCUUGCGCGAUUGAAUGAGCCGAUGUCGGAUUAGCUAGUUGGCGGGGUAAAGGCCCACCAAGGCGACGAUCCGUAGCUGGUCUGAGAGGAUGAUCAGCCACACUGGAACUGAGACACGGUCCAGACUCCUACGGGAGGCAGCAGUGGGGAAUAUUGGACAAUGGGCGCAAGCCUGAUCCAGCCAUACCGCGUGGGUGAAGAAGGCCUUCGGGUUGUAAAGCCCCUUUGUUGGGAAAGAAAAGCAGCAGGUUAAUACCCCGCUGUUCUGACGGUACCCAAAGAAUAAGCACCGGCUAACCUCGUG
rnacentral:rRNA from 1 species